rnacentral:misc_RNA from 1 species
GUAUUAACUUUAUAGGCACUGAAGCCCAUUGAUUCAUUCUGUAAACAUUCUUAUGGGGUAUGUAAAAACAUAGACUGGAAAUGCAAGGAGAGCCGGCUUUCGCACAGCAAACCUACAACCGAGUUUCCUCGAAAGGUAUCCAAAUCUACAAAGGGUGCACAGGUGGAAAGAUAAAGAUGGACAGGCGUGCACAUGCUCCUAGGAGCCAGCUCAGCCAGCCAAGAUUAUUCAAUAAUGAUCCUUCCGCAGGUUCACCUACGGAAA